rnacentral:tRNA from 1 species
GGGCAUGUGGUGUAACUGGAUAACACAUUCGCUCAUUGUGCGAAAGACGUCCGGUUCGAGCCCGACCAUGCCCC